rnacentral:rRNA from 1 species
UACGGGGGGAGCAAGCGUUUGUUCGGAUUUACUGGGCGUAAAGGGCGCGUAGGCGGCCACCGCAAGUCAGUUGUGAAAUCUCUGGGCUUAACCCAGAACGGUCAGCUGAUACUGCGGGGCUAGAGUGCAGAAGGGGCAACUGGAAUUCUCGGUGUAGCGGUGAAAUGCGUAGAUAUCGAGAGGAACACCUGCGGCGAAGGCGGGUUGCUGGGCUGACACUGACGCUGACAGCGCGAAAGCUAGGGGAGCGAACGGG